CUUGUGUGCUGUUUGCUGGUGAAGUCCAAGUGUGCUGAACCAUCUACUAAAGGUUGUAACAUGGUAAUUAUUGUUAUAAGUGGUUUCACUUUUAAACUGUAAAAUCAGAGAGCCGAAAAUGAAAUCCUAGCUGAACAUUACUGCAGACAUAUACAGAUGUAAUACUGCCAGGACAUUAAUCCCCUUCCCAACCUCGGACGUACCAGGUACUUCCAACAAAAAAAGGUCGUUAACAACCAUAUUAAUAUACACUUAGAAUAACAUUUAUAUAUAUGUGUUAUUCUAAGUGUAUAAAGUCUAUAUAAAUAGAGGCAAAAAUACAUAUAUGCACAAAUACGCAAACAUACAGACGUUAAUUUUAUUUAUAUAUAUAUAUAUAUAAUAAAAAUAAUCAAUAAAUACAUUGAAAAAUAUAAAUAAAAAUAAAUAAUAAAAUGUAAUUUAAAAAAAUGAUAUACUGGUUUAAAUUUGUACUAACUGUAUUUUGAUAUUAACGCACAUAUAUAUUUAAAUCAAAAUACCUUUAGAAUGACGUUAUAAAUACAUAUCCCCUUAACAACCGUGGACGUACUAGGUACGUCCGACAAAAAACGGUCGUUAAGGACUAGGUACGUCCUCCACAAAUAGGGGCCCUGGAUUUACCUGGACCGGUGAUCACGUUUGGGAGGGACUGCCAGAGACCCCAGCAGUCCCCCUGCAGCAGCUCCAGCCACCCUGGCCCUGCAGGGCCAUGUGAUCACCAUGAUUACAUCGCCACAAUAGGAGUCUAGGGAGCUGCCAGCAGGGGGACUGUCUGAGCUAUCAGGCAGUACCCCAGGCUGCUAAAAAGGAAAAAAAUAAUUAAUAAAUAAAUAUAUUAUAUAUAUAUAUAAAUACAUUAUGUAUAUGAGUGUUUAAAACAGUAAAACAUAUCCCGACGAUGAAAUCACCAGUAAAAGUGCAGUUUGUGUGUAAAUAAAAUAAAAAAACAAAUAUGAACGCAAAAUUUGGCCGCGUUUGUGGCUUACCCUGUACGUUUUCAAAAACCCAUAAGACCUGUACAUUGGGGGCACUGUUGUACUCAAGAGAUGUUACUGAACACAUAUUGGGGUGUUCUUUGUCAGUAACACAUAACAGGAACUGAGAAUGCAUGCCUAAAGUACAAUGUGUGUGAAAAAUAACACAAAAAAAUGACUACCCAAAAGUGUGACAUAGACUGGUGGUAGAAUUAGUGCAUGGAAAGUGUUAAAAUACCACCAUUUGAAAUACCCUAGGGUUUCUACGUUUCAAAAAUAUAUGGUUUGAUGGGGGUAAAUUACAUUAGACGGCUUCAAAAAUGUCCUACACCCAGGGCCAGAUUAAGAGCCCAGUGGGCCUGGUGCUGACAAUUAUGACGGGCCUAAUUACAGAAUCAUAUCGACCAAAAACAGUAAAACACUCCCAAGCGUCAUGUAUCCGAUGGAGAUGGUGCUGGAGAGAAAGAAAACAGCAGCUAUAAGAAAACACAUACCCUAGGCUAAUCUCCCUCUAAUUUAUGUUUUCAUCUUUCAAGUAAAUCCAUAACCCCUAACAGCAGUGUCCAGUCAAGCAGGAAGUCAAUGAGCAUGGUAAAAGGGUGUGCCACUGACACAAAUCACGUAACCUGCCAAAAGGGGCGGACAUGCCCAAAAAGAGGAUAUGUCUGCCCAAAGAAUUAGAAGACCAGCCUGGUAUGAAUGCAUGUCAGGCUGCCUGCCAAUCAUGCAGCUGGCCAACUAAGGGCAUACUAUGCAGACAACACCCUGAGCUUGGCAUAAAUGUAUCUAAUGAUGCGCUCGCUCAAUGCUUUCUAAGGACUGUCCCUUAGUACUCGCUGGUCCACUUGUCUUCUUACCAGCAGGCAGAAGCUCCUGGUAUACAGUCUGGGACAGAGAAAAGCUGUAUGUAGUGAGUGUAGAAGAAAGGGAACAUGCCACAGUGUUAGAGAGACCAAAGUCAGCAUUACCUUAAAGGAUCAAUAUAGGGUCAGGAACACAAACAUGAAUUCAUGACCCUAUAGUGUUAUUCUAUAGCCUCGAUAAAUAUAGCAAAAUGUAACUCUGCAUGCUGUUAGACUCAGAAAAACAAGCAGUCUGCUGACAUCAUUAGAAGUGGUCGCCUAAUCCAAUCACAGUGCUUCCCCAUAGGAUUGGCUGAGACUGACAAAGAGGCAGAUCAGGGGCAGAGCCAGCAUGAUUCAAACACAGCCGUGGCCAAUCAGCAUCUCCUCAUAGAGAUGAAUUGAAUCAAUGAAUCUCUAUGAGGAAAGUUCAGUGUCUGCAUGCAGAGGGAGGAGAUACUGAAUGUUUGGAUGCAUUUUAGGCAGCCAUGACCCAGGAAGGAUCUCUAACAGCCAUCUGAGGAGUGGCCAGUGAAGUUAUCACUAGGCUGUAAUGUAAACACUGCAUUUUCUCUGAAAAGACAGUGUUUACAGCAAAAAGCCUGAAGGUAAUGAUUCUACUCACCAGAACAAAUUCAAUAAGCUGUAGUUGUUCUGGUGACUCUAGUGUCCCUUUAACUAUAUUCAUUGUCAGCCAGUCCACACAAGUUUUGUUCCCAUACAUCCCUCUUAAGUUUCCAUACUUAAGUAAGAGUAUGUGAAAAGUAGUUAGGGUUGCCACCUUUCUUGGAAAAACAUACCGGCCUUGCUAAUUUGCAUAAUUAAAUAUGUAUGGGUGACAUCACAUGAUGUUAAUCACAAGGAGUGGCAUAAGAGAAAAUGCUGUAAAAUCAUCAAAAAACUACUUAGUUUGAUUCUGCUGUAUAGGUGGCCCCAUGUCUCCCAGUGCCCCCAUGUGUCGAUUACUCCAGGUCUCAGUGUUCCUAUGUAUCAGUGUCUCAGUGCCCCAUGUCUCCCAGUGUCCCGUAGUGUCGUGUCCCCAGGUCUCCCAGUGAUCCUAUGUAUCACAGUAUCUCAAUGCCGCAUGUCUCCCUGUGUCCCCAUGUAUCCCAGGGUCCCCAUGUCACUAGGAAGACGGGAAGACCUGGGGACACGGGGAGACCUAGAGACACGGAGACACCAGUGACACUGGGAGACUAGGGGACUCUGGCUGGGACGCAUGGGGACACUGGGAAAAUAGGGGACACUUGACAUGGGGACACAGACACCAUGGACACAGACACUAGAGACACUGGCUGGGGGACAUGGGGGCACUGGGAGACAUGGGGACAAGGAGACACCAGGGCCACAGACACUAGGGACACUAGCUUGGAGACAUGGGGACAUUGAGGCACUGGGAGACAUGGAGGCACUAGGAGACAUGGGGACAGUGAGGCACUGGCAGACUCUGGGCACUGGGAGACUAGGGGGCACUGAGACACCAGGGACACUGGCUGGGAGACAUGGGGACACUGUGUCCCCAUGUGUCUGUGUCAUAAUGUCUCCCAAUUUCCCUUAGUGUCUCAGUGUCCCCAUGUCUCCUUGCAGCCUUCCCCCCCCCCCAUUCCUUACUUCCCUGAGCUGUAGGCUGUCUCUGCAGGGUGGGAGUUGCUGUCUGGACUCUCUGUAGCUGCACCCCUGCAGAUCAGUGAGUAUAGAUAGGCAGGGAGGGAUAUGCUGGAACUUCCUAUCCCUGCCUGUCUCCACACACAGUGACCCCUACUGGCCAGUGCUGGUAUUGCAUAGUAAUCUCUUGUUUAUACUGAGAAAAAUACCAGCAUUUGUAUUGCCAGUAUCACUGUAAUAUUUGCACCAGCCAGGCAGCCUCAAAUACUGGCUGUGCCAAUAAAAUAAAAGCCAGGUGGAAUUCCUAAGAGUAGUGUGUGAAAAAAAAAAAUGUAAAAAAAAAAAAAUUUUUUUUUUUUAUAUAAAUCAAUGGGCCUAUUCCAUGGGCCUGGGCCUGGAGCUGCAGCUCCAUCAGCCCCUAUGUUAAUCCGGCCCUGCCUACACCCAACAUGGGUACAUGAUGACCAGCUGUGAAAAUUCCAAGUAGGAAAACUGGAAUGCGCACCCUUCAAAUAAGGUCUUUUGGCCCCCAUAGAACCCAACACACCUAUACAUGGGGGGUAUCACUGUACUCAGGAGAUGAUGCUGAACACAUAUUGGGGUGUUCUUUGGCAAUAACCCUUAAUGUUCUCAGUACAAGUAUCCUUAAAUUGCAAUGUGUGCCAAAAAAUCACCAAUUAUUUAAUUUAUUUUUUUAUAAUUUGGCAUAGAUUGGUCAUAAAAUGGUUGUAUGAAAAGAGCAUAAAAGAGCAUGAAAAGAGUCAAAAUACCCCAAAUGUAAUACCUUAGGUUCUCUUCUUUUUAAAAAAUAUAUACAUGUGAUGGGUUAUUCAGGGAUUCCUGACAGAUAUCAGUGUUACAUUUUGAAGAAAAAAAAUGGUUUGGAAAUAGCAACGUGCUACUUGUACUUAUAGCCCUAUAACUUGCAAAAAAAGCUAAGAACGUGUUAACAUUGGGUAUUGCUAAACUCAGGACAAAAUUUAGAAACUAUUUAGAACAGGUGUUUUUUAAUUUUUUCAUCAUAUUUUAUAAUUUAUAAUAUUUUUUAUAGUAAAUUAUAUGAUAUGAUGAAAAUAAUGGUAUCUUUAGAAAGACAAUUUAAUGUCGAGAAAAACGGUAUAUAAUAUGCAUGGGUACAGUAAAUGAGUAAGAGGAAAAAUUACAGCUAAACACUUGGUCCCAAACGGUAAGAAAACCAAAAAGCGUUCUGGUCACUAAGGGCUUAUACUUACAAGGUAGGUGAGUGAGUUAACUCAGUAUUGGCAGAACUCACUCGCUCAAAGCUGAGAGAAUUACAUUUCUAAACAAAAAUUCUGUCAGUAAAGUGUUGCCAAGCAGGAGUAUCAGGAACAAAUGAGCAAUUCUAGACUUGAAAAGGAAACGAAUGAAAACACAAAGUAUUAAAGAAAAUAAUCUAUGCAAGCUGGAAUUUAUACAAUUUCUAUAUGCUGCUGUCUGCCAAUAUUUGAGUGUCUUUAUGUUGGUCAUUUUCUGAGUCGGUAGUUAUAUUUCUAGCAGUGUUACAUGAUGAGAGGACAAUGAAUACAUUCUGAAUAUGUCUCCUGUAUGCAGCAUUCCUGUCCUUUUAUAAAAUUACAUUAUUGUUAACAGGGAGCAGGAAGCCUUUCAGGAAAGCAGCAGCUCAUCUCUCUGGUUGUAUGUUUUACAUUCUAAGCACCAAACUGUUUUAUUUAAUAGCCCUCCAUUGAUCUGACAUUGGACAUUGCAUCCCUCCAUUCCCUUUAGAUUAAACCUGAAAUCUCCAGAGUCAGCACUGAACUGAGCAUUUCUUUAGUGAUUUCACAUUAAGCCCAUAUGCUCUCCUUAGACUUAGUUGUGAACCCAGCCUCUCCAGAGUCAGCACUGAACUGAGCAUUUCUUUAGUGAUUUCACAUUAAGCCCAUAUGCUCUCCUUAGACUUAGUUGUGAACCCAGCCUCCCAUCGUUGACUUAACCAUAAACCCAACAGUCCUCCGUAGGAUUGGCCCUGACCCUAACAGCCGUGCAUUGAUUUAUCAUAUCUCCACAGGAUAAAAGGUCCAUUUUCUCACAACUUCAGCAGAGAAGUUGGUUCCUUAUGUGAAGACAGAAGAUCCCACAGAGAGCGAGGCAAGAAGCAAGAAAUGUCUUGUAGCAUCGUAUAACAUUGCAGACGGUCAUUAUUUUCAGCUAAGCAGAUGCACUCUCAGUUGAGUUUUUCUAUAUAACAUUAUCU